UAACAUAUGCUUGUCUCAAAGAUUAAGCCAUGCAGGUCUAAGUGCACACGGUCGGUACAGUGAAACUGCGAAUGGCUCAUUAAAUCAGUUAUGGUUCCUUUGAUCGCUCCACACGUUACUCGGAUAACUGUGGUAAUUCCAGAGCUAAUACAUGCAAACGAGCGCUGACCCUCCUCUCCCUCUCGGGGGAGCUGGGGGGGAUGCGUGCAUUUAUCAGACCCAAAACCCAUCCGGGGGGUCUCGGGCCCCCCGGCCGCUUUGGUGACUCUAGAUAACCUCGGGCCGAUCGCGCGCCCUCCGCGGCGGCGACGUCUCAUUCGAAUGUCUGCCCUAUCAACUUUCGAUGGUACUAUAGGCGCCUACCAUGGUGACCACGGGUAACGGGGAAUCAGGGUUCGAUUCCGGAGAGGGAGCCUGAGAAACGGCUACCACAUCCAAGGAAGGCAGCAGGCGCGCAAAUUACCCAUUCCCGACACGGGGAGGUAGUGACGAAAAAUAACGAUACAGGUCUCUUUCGAGGCCCUGUAAUCGGAAUGAGCGUAUCCUAAACCCAUGGGUGAGGACCCAUU
rnacentral:rRNA from 1 species